AACGCACAUUGCGCCCAUUAGUAUUCUAGUGGGCAUGCCUAUUCGAGCGUCAUUUCAACCCUUACGCCCCUGUUGCGUAGCGUUGGGAAUCUGCGUACAGCGCAGUUCCUCAAAGUGAUCUGGCGGAGCUAGUGCAUACUCUAAGCGUAGUAAACACCAUUCUCGCUUCUGUAGUAGGCCUGGCGGCUAGCCGUUAAACCCCCUAUACUUCUAGUGGUUGACCUCGGAUCAGGUAGGAAUACCCGCUGAACUUAA
rnacentral:misc_RNA from 1 species